rnacentral:misc_RNA from 1 species
GCCGCCAACAGCCGUGCAGCUGUUCCGCCACCACCGGUAUCUAUCUUCCUUCUAGUGAAUUAGGGCAAUAUAACAGGACGACACAAUGAGAUUGGAAAAAUGUUGGUUUUGUUCCUCAACUGUAUAUCCAGGCCAUGGUAUUCAAUUUGUUCGAAACGAUGCAAAGAUCUUUCGGUUCUGUAGGUCUAAGUGCCACAAGAACUUUAAGAUGAAGAGGAAUCCUCGUAAAGUUAAAUGGACUAAAGCAUAUAGACGGCUGCAUGGAAAGGACAUGACUCAGGACUCAACAUUUGAAUUCGAGAGGAAGCGUAAUAGGCCAGAGAGAUAUGACAGGAAUGUAACUGAGAACACUUUGAAGGCCAUCAAGAAAAUUGAUAAAAUCAGAGUUGACAGGGAGGAGAGACAUAUUGCAAAGAGGAUGAAAGGAAAUAAAGCCAAGGAGCAGAGAGAAGCAACAAAGGAGCUCGAGCAGAGCAUUCACAUGGUCAAAGCUCCUUCUGUGCUCUUCAAAGAGCCAUCACUUACACUACCUACCAAGGUCAAGGUUUUGCAAAAGCAGUCAGAGGAAAAUCGCAUGGAGGAAUGAACAUUUCGCUUCCCAUAUUCUAUUUUUUCAAACUAAAAAAACACUAAAUCGGUCCAUACUUAUUUUUGCAGUAUGUAUAACAUUUUGAUGACAUUGACAUGCUAAGCUUUCCCUUACCUUCAGAAUAGUAAUGGUUUUUCGACUUAGUCUUGUGCGUAGAAUUUUUUGAACUUCCUAUAUGAGUAUUUUGAUGAGGUACGGUUCCUAGUUUG